GAAAAACAGGGAACACCGCUUUUAACUACAAAAACAUCCAUUUAUUACUGAUGCAAAAUGUUGCAAAAUGAAACACAUGAGGUGGCCCUUACAAUGGACCAUUACGUUUCGGGAAAAACGUAUGGCUUUCAUGCAAACAAAAUUAAAAAACAGAAAUACUACACUUCCGGAUGAGUGACAGUAAUGCUUUUGGAGACCUUCCAGUUUCCUGGUACGCAAGACUUUAUCCACAACUCGAGCUCGCGGUCACAGUCGAUCUCUUCACUCACUGAACAAGACCAGUUUCCUGGUACGCAAGACUUUAUCCACAACUCGAGCUCGCGGUCACAGUCGAUCUCUUCACUCACUGAACAAGCAUGAUCAGGAUCCAGCAUUCCUGCACUGACAAAGGGGUACAGUGGACGAUAUCCCCUGUUUGGUCUAGACGACCCUUGAUCCGGCUGAUAACCGACCCCAAACAUGUCUGCUUUUACCACGAUGUCAAUGAUCCUUCCCCAGCCUUGGGCCUCUUUGUUCUUCACCACUUCCAGAGCUUGUUUAUAAGAAGAAAUGGACAGCUUUUUCUCUUUCUCAGCAACAAG
rnacentral:lncRNA from 1 species